AUUGAACGCUGGCGGCAUGCUUUACACAAGCAAGUCGAACGGUAACGCGGGGCAACCUGGCGACGAGUGGCGAACGGGUGAGUAAUGCAUCGGAACGUGCCUGGUAGUGGGGGAUAACUGCUCGAAAGAGCAGCUAAUACCGCAUACGACCUGAGGGUGAAAGGGGGGGAUCGCAAGACCUCUCGCUAUCAGAGCGGCCGAUGUCGGAUUAGCUAGUUGGUGGGGUAAAGGCCCACCAAGGCGACGAUCCGUAGCUGGUCUGAGAGGACGACCAGCCACACUGGGACUGAGACACGGCCCAGACUCCUACGGGAGGCAGCAGUGGGGAAUUUUGGACAAUGGACGCAAGUCUGAUCCAGCCAUGCCGCGUGCGGGAAGAAGGCCUUCGGGUUGUAAACCGCUUUUGUCAGGGAAGAAAUCUUCUGGGCUAAUACCCUGGGAGGAUGACGGUACCUGAAGAAUAAGCACCGGCUAACUACGUGCCAGCCGCCGCCGUAA
rnacentral:rRNA from 1 species